AUACUGGAUAAGCCCUUACGGGGAAAGUUUUAAUGCCAUAAGAUGAGCCCGCAUUUGAUUAGUUAGUUGGUGAGGUAAUGGCUCACCGAGACAAUGAUCAAUAGCUGAUCUGAGAGGAUGAUCAGCCACACUGGGACUGAGACACGGCCCAGACUCCUACGGGAGGCAGCAGUGGGGAAUCUUGCACAAUGGAGGAAACUCUGAUGCAGCGAUGCCGCGUGAGUGAAGAAGGCCUUUGGGUUGUAAAGCUCUUUUGUAGGGGAAGAUAAUGACUGUACCCUAAGAAUAAGGUCCGGCUAACUUCGUGCCAGCAGCCGCGGUAAUACGAAGGGACCUAGCGUAGUUCGGAAUUACUGGGCGUAAAGCGCGCGUAGGCCGUUGAGUUAGUUAAUUGUGAAAUCCCAAAGCUUAACUUUGGAACUGCAAUUAAAACUGCUCGACUAGAGUUUGAUAGAGGAAAGCGGAAUACAUAGUGUAGAGGUGAAAUUCGUAGAUAUUAUGUAGAACACCAGUUGCGAAGGCGGUUUUCUGGAUCAACACUGACGCUGAGGCGCGAAAGUAUGGGUAGCAAAGAGGAUUAGAUACCCUCGUAGUCCAUACCAUAAACGAUGAUUGCUAGAUGUUGGAAAUUUAUUUUCA
rnacentral:rRNA from 1 species